rnacentral:lncRNA from 1 species
GUUGGCACGCAGAGGACGAAGCCUGGUAUUGCUGGGAUAGACACUCUGCGAGUGCUCACUGUUGAAGCACACGAUGGCCGACGGGACACAGAAGGCUGCCAGCUCAGGAGAGCCAGGGUGAGAGCAAAGGAUCCCUGCAUGCAGCCCCCCACUGCAGGGCAGAGGGGUGUUGGGGGUCUGCCAGCAGUGGAGAGGGGAGUUGGGGGCACACAAGGGCUCCCCAUCUGCUGCGGGCAGGACUUGGCCAGGGGAGCCACAGUUGGGCUUUGGCUGCCUGCUGGCACCGCUGGGCCUGCUGUGCCCCAUCCCUGCAAGUUGCUCACUGCUGUUACUCUCUCCAGCAUGUGUGUUCUGUGGCCGGGUGGACGUGGACCUCGGCAUCACUGGGAACAAAUACGUGAUGAAGGGGAUCUAUUUCCAUACUUUUUGUGUGAAGUCCAAUGUGGGAGGAAAACGAUGCCUAUGCAUCUCUGGGAGGAAGACAUAGGUGCUGUGAUGCCAACGAAUGCCGUUACCCACAGGGCCGGGAACAGGCAGAGGAAGUGGGGCCCUGGCAGCUGCUCCUCUGCAGCUCCUGUGCUGCACGAGGAACACACCGCCGCUGCUCCAACGUGAGUCAGGGCACAACGAGCUGGGAGUGCGACAGCUGUGCUGGAGAGGGCACCGGUAAGAGGCAAACAGCCGCGUGCUGCUGGGCUGGGGACAGGAGAGGCAUUGCUCAAGUCUCUUUGGCCCAGGAUGGAUGGGAGCCUGUCCCAUCUCGGGGCUGGAGUUUCACCCCUCUCAGCUCUUUGCUUCUCCUUUCAGGCCCCAGCACCAACUAGGAUCUUGCCAGCCAUAGCACCACCAGCCGGCAGGAACUGGGGCCAUUCUGAGGCUCCAUAGCACUGGAGAGAAGCAGGUCCAGCUUCUACUCUGUACCACCGAGUAGUUCCCGUGUUCCUGAGAACAGCAUCCUCUCCAGACAGCGCAGGGAGGACAGAAGGAGAAUAUACCCACAUGUCAUAUCCCGGAUGGUCUAGUGCUUUGGAUCCUGCGCUCUCACUGCUGGGACCAGGGUUUGAUUCUGGAACCAUCCUCUGCAAUAUAGUUUUCUUCUGAGAGCUGAUAUUUGAGAUGUUGUUAUUCCAUGGAACUGGACUUUUUAAUGAUCCAUAUGAAUCACAUAUGGAUGUGAUACCACAUCAUAUGUUAUAUGUGGAAUAUUGACAGCAACAUUACAAAACCGUGACACUGCGUUUACAGUGGGAUGAGAAUAUUGAUGCCGUAGGAGCAGCCGUGUACAAGCUCCCCUUCCUAUCCAAUGUCAUCUGAAUCCAUCCCAAUAAAACUUAAUUCCUUCAUGCCA